rnacentral:RNase_P_RNA from 1 species
GAAGCUGACCAGACAGUCGCCGCUUCGUCGUCGUCCUCUUCGGGGGAGACGGGCGGAGGGGAGGAAAGUCCGGGCUCCAUAGGGCAGGGUGCCAGGUAACGCCUGGGGGGGAAACCCACGACCAGUGCAACAGAGAGCAAACCGCCGAUGGCCCGCGUAAGCGGGAUCAGGUAAGGGUGAAAGGGUGCGGUAAGAGCGCACCGCGCGGCUGGUAACAGUCCGUGGCACGGCGUACUGAACCCGGGUAGGCUGCUUGAGCCAGUGAGCGAUUGCUGGCCUAGAUGAAUGACUGUCCACGACAGAACCCGGCUUAUCGGUCAGUUUCACCU